AGCGCGGGUGCGAGUCGGAGGGUGCAAGCCCGUGGGCGAAGUGAAAGCGAGUUUAAAAACGAGCAGUUUGGGGCGGCAUAAGAUCGUUGAUCUUAAGACCGACCCAGAGCAGUUGCGCUGGGACCCGAAAGAUGGUGAACUAUGCCGGAGUAGGGCAAAGCCAGAGGAAACUCUGGUGGAGGCUCGUAGCGGUGCUGACGUGCAAAUCGCUCGUCGAACUUGGGUAUAGGGGCGAAAGACUAAUCGAACCAUCUAGUAGCUGGUUCCCUCCGAAGUUUCUCUCAGGAUAGCGGGCCGACAAGUUGUUUUGUGCGGUAAAGCGAAUGAUUAGCGCACUCGGGGGCGUUUAGCCUUCGGGCGAUUCUCAAACUUUCAAUGCGCAAGGGUGCCGCUGCUUAAUUGAGCGGUACCGGUAAAAACGUCGGCCCUGUGGGCCACUUUUGGUAAGCAGAACUGGCGAUACGGGAUGAACCGUAAGCAAGGUUAAGGCGCCAAACUGCCCGCUUAUAGAUCCCACAAAAGGUGUUGAUUCAUCGAGACAGCAGGACGGUGGCCAUGGAAGUCGGAAUCCGCCAAGGAGUGUGUAACAACUCACCUGCCGAAUGAAUUAGCCCUGAAAAUGGAUGGCGCUUAAGCGGGCGGCCGACACCUUGCCGUCUGAACAAGAAUUUCAGAUGAGUAGGAGGGCGUGGCGGCCGUGUCGAAGCGCGCGUGCAGACGCGUGUGGAACGGCCGCUAGUGCAGAUCUUGGUGGUAGUAGCAAGUAUUCAAGCGAGAUCCUUGAAGGGCGAAGUGGGGAAGGGUUUCACGCGAACAUUGAUUGGGCGUGAGUGAGUCGUUCCUAAGCCGAGUGGCAAUUGCUAAUUAACGGCGAAAGGGAAGCGGGUUGACAUUCCCGCACACGGAUGUGGAGGCGGCGACGCAUUAUUGGGGCGAACACGCUGGCGAUGGCGCUGGGCAGAGUUGUCUUUUCUGUUUGACCGCUUGCGCACGCAGUGUGGAAUCCGCUUGUAGGGAGAAACACGCGUGUUCGGGCAGAGCGCUGGGGCUUUUCCAGCGUCCAGCUCGCCAUCGACGGCCCUUGAAACUUUGCCUGCUG
rnacentral:rRNA from 1 species